AUACUUCGAAGACCUUCUCAAUCCCACCAACACGUCUUCUGAUGAGGAAGCAGAGUCUGGGGUGGCUGGUGUUGGGUCUCCCAUCUCUAGGGCUGAGGUUGCUGAGGUGGUUA